rnacentral:lncRNA from 1 species
CUUUGACAGCAAAAGAGGGCGAGAGCAUAGGAGACGCCGAGUGUAAGCAGAUGGAGAAGCGCUAUUUGAUAGAAUUUCAUUUCCCUUUGCACAUAUGCCAGUUGCUAUAUGAGAUGCAGCCUGGCAGGGAAUGGGCUUCCUUCUAUUUACUGUAACUCUUCUAUUUACUAGUUAGUACUUUAUUGUUACUGCCAGCGCAGCAUUUCUGUGUCUCUUUUUUUUUUUUUUUGGUGUGGAAACAUAUUUUAUUUUCAUAUUUGGGCUAUGGAGCAGCUGCUGCUUUUUCAUUCCUCAUCACAAAGCUUUGAUGCCACCUUUUGCACGUAAAGAUUUUCAUAAGUAAGAAGAAACUGGCUUAUUGGUGCACAUCAAGAAACAAAUUCUACCCAAAGGCAUGCUUUUGCUGCUGUCUUUGAAGGUGAGCAUCCUAGAUUUCUGCGAGGACUUGUCCAGUCUACUCCUCUGAUUCAUAGUCUGGUGGAUACAGCCUAUGUCUGUACUAAGGCCUCAGCAAAAUCUGAAGUUACCUCCCACUGAGAGCUCAGCAAAGAGUUUUCUAGAAAUGAAAGUAGACUUCUGGCUUUCCUUUCGUACCGCUAGGCUCUGCUGCUUUGUUCCCCCAGUCUUGGGCUGGCAGCCUACGUUUGGCAGCUCCUUCCAACGUGAC